CAGAGUUCCUGCCCUUAUGGGUAGAAACCCCACCCGUGUAUAUUAUAUCUUUGUUGCUUUGGCAGGCCGCCUUCGGGCACCGGCAUACGCUGGAUCGUGCCUGCCAGAGGACCCCAAACUCUGAAUGUUAGUGUCGUCUGAGUACUAUAUAAUAGUUA
rnacentral:misc_RNA from 1 species